GGGAGUGAAUGUUGGGCAUCUAAGAUAUAGCAUGUUCACAAGAUGCGCGUGGUAGAAAUGUGGAUUUUAAGAUGGAUGUUUGGUAAUAUGAUAAUGGAUAAGAUUAGGAACUACAACAUUUGCUAGAGUGUGUGUAGCACGCAUUGGCAAUAAAAUGAGAGGAUCGAUUAGGAUGGUUUGGUCGUGUUUGAUGUAGAGCAUCGAAUGUUCUAAUGCGAAGUUAGUGGUGGAAGGAGUGAGAGGCAAAAGGGGGAAAUCUAAAAUGACGUGAAGGGAAGGAGUAUCAAAAGAUUUAUAAUUUUUGGAUAUUAAUGCAGAAUUGGUUUCAAAUAAGAGCUAAAUAACG
rnacentral:misc_RNA from 1 species